rnacentral:rRNA from 1 species
GAGUUUGAUCGUGGCUCAGAUUGAACGCUGGCGGCAGGCCUAACACAUGCAAGUCGGGCGGUAGAGAGAAGCUUGCUUCUCUUGAGAGCGGCGGACGGGUGAGUAAUGCCUAGGAAUCUGCCUGGUAGUGGGGGAUAACGCUCGGAAACGGACGCUAAUACCGCAUACGUCCUACGGGAGAAAGCAGGGGACCUUCGGGCCUUGCGCUAUCAGAUGAGCCUAGGUCGGAUUAGCUAGUUGGUGAGGUAAUGGCUCACCAAGGCGACGAUCCGUAACUGGUCUGAGAGGAUGAUCAGUCACACUGGAACUGAGACACGGUCCAGACUCCUACGGGAGGCAGCAGUGGGGAAUAUUGGACAAUGGGCGAAAGCCUGAUCCAGCCAUGCCGCGUGUGUGAAGAAGGUCUUCGGAUUGUAAAGCACUUUAAGUUGGGAGGAAGGGCAGUAAAUUAAUACUUUGCUGUUUUGACGUUACCGACAGAAUAAGCACCGGCUAACUCUGUGCCAGCAG